UCCCCCCGGCCCUCUGGAUGCUUCCAUCCAUCACACCACACCGCUGGAAUCAAGCGCGAAGUCUCCAGAAAACUCCAUCAAUGACGCACAAUCAAAAUUUAUGUAUGAAUCCACAUCCUCCAUUAAAAUAUCUUUCCAUCCGGCGAGAGUAUUGGUCUGGGACUGUGAUUCGUGAAGAUGGAGGUGAGGAGGAUAGUAGUAGUGGUGGUUGAGGCGUAAAAGAGAGGAGGAUGGAGAGAGAGAGAGAGAGAGAGAGAGAGAGAGAGAGGAGGAGAGUGAUGAGUGGGAGAGUGAAGAGGAAGAGUGAUGAGCGAAGAGGACGAGUGGGAGAGUGAUGGGCGGUAGUGUAGCUAGAACUUCGCCAGAAGGUCGCUGAGAAGGAUCGCUCCAUUGCUGAGCUCCGGGAAGGCUCUCGUAUCUCGAGCACGUUUUUCAGGAUGCUGAUGAUCGGCUCCAUUCCGUUCUUGAGGAGAAUAUUAAGGUGUCCAAGAAGUGGGAUUCACUUGCUCUGACUUCAAAGAAAUUGGCCAAAUAAAUGGUGAAGCUCCUUCAAAGUUAAGGCUUGAAGAUUUGCAAAGCAUACACAUUACUAACUGGAGGAUCUGGAGAUACUUUCUUCGUGAUCAAAUUCAUGUGAAAAAAGAUUUUGCAAAGAAAGAAGAAGCCUUUUCACCAGCAGAAAGCAAGCAAGGAGUUAAUGGCGAGCAGUGAUACUCAGAUGGUCUCAGUUUAUGCUAGUUAGCAGAGUUCGCUAUGUUUCAUUUUGUUUAUAGAAGGAAUAGACAAUGCUAUUUUAUAAUGAAAUUCAUGACUUAUGAACACUUUUGUUAUGUGUCUUUUGAUUUGAUCAAUAAAAUUGUUUUUAUA